rnacentral:lncRNA from 1 species
UAUUAUAUAUAUAUAUAUAUAGAGUUGACCUAGAAUACUAUCGAUAGCAAACGGGCUCUGUUGUCACCCAUUUGUUUUCGAUGAUAGAGUCUCCAAAUCGACGAUCAGCACUGUUAAACAUUAUCUAUACCACUUGAAAUGUUUAGAAAUCAAAUUUCAAAUCUUUUCGACAUUAUUUGCCUAAUAAUCAAAGGGUUUCAAAUUUUGUAAUUUUAAUGGUCGAUAUGAGACGUUUUCUCAUUUAACGGCAUAAAGAUAUUCAAAUCAAUUGAAUUUUUUUUAGAAAAUUUUUUAAACUAUUUAAAACAAGAUCUAUACUCUUGAUCUUGAUUACAAGACUCCCAUCAUCAUUUUUUAAAGAAUAUUCAUUUUCAACCGUUCAUUUUUGUGUCCACUCGAUGUAUAAGAGAACAAUAUCGAAAAUGUAUGAAAUUUGAUUUCUACACACUUCAAGUGGUAUAGAUCAUGUUCAACGGUGCCCGUUUGCUAUCGAUAGUAUUCUAGCUCAACUAUAU